rnacentral:rRNA from 1 species
AGCCUUAAGAUUGUAUUUAAGGUAAUGCCUGCCCAGUGCUAAUAUUGUAAAUGGCCGCAGUACCUUGACUGUGCUAAGGUAGCAUAAUCAGUUGGCUUUUAAAUGGAGUCGGGAAUGAAUGGAUUUAUAGGGUGUAGCUGUCUCUUUUGUAUUAUAUUGAAUUUAAUUAUUUAGGUGAAAAUACCUAAUUAUUGUUAAAAGACGAGAAGACCCUAGGAGUUUUUACUAGUAUCAAUCUAAAAUUGAUGAUGUUUUUGUUGGGGCGACAUAGAAAGCAUAUGGAAACCUUCUUAAUACAAUGUGCCGACUUAANNUAUGAAUAAUUAAACUACCCUAGGGAUAACAGCGUUAUUCUUUUUAGAGCUUGCGACCUCGAUGUUGGACUAGGAAUUUGGUUGGCUAGCCGCCAAGUCU